rnacentral:lncRNA from 1 species
GGAUGAGGUUCAACAAGACCGAGUGCCGGGUCCUGCACUUUGGCCGCAACAACCUCAGGCAACGCUACAGGCUUGUGGCAGAGUGGCUGGAAGGUUGUGUGGAGGAAACGGACCUGGGGGUAUUAGUCAAUGCUCAGCUGAGCAUGAGCCACCAGUGUGCCUAGGUAGCCAAGAAGGCCAAUGGCAUCCUGGCUUGUAUCAGAAAUAGUGUUGCCAGUAGGAGUAGGGAAGUCAUUGUCCCUCUGUACUCAGCCCUGGUGAGGCCCCACCUCAAGUACUGUGUCCAGUUUUGGGCCCCUCACUGUAAAAAAGACAUUGAGGCCCUGGAGCUUGUUCAGAGGAGGGUGACGAAGCUGGUGCGGGGUCUGGAGCACAGGUCUUAUGAGGAGCGGCUGAGGGAGCUGGGAUUGUUCAGUCUGGAGAAGAGGAGGCUCAGGGGGGCCCUUAUCACUAUAACUACCUGAAGGAAGGUUGUAGUGAGCUGGGGGUCAGCCUCUUCUCUCUUGUAACUAGUGACAGGACGAGGGAGAAUGGCCUCAAGUUGCGCCAGAGGAGAUUUAGGCUGGACAUUAGGAAACACUACUUUUCUGAAAGAGUGGUCAGGUGCUGGAACAGGCUGCCCAGGGAGGUGGUAGAGUCACUGCCCUUGGAGGUGUUCAAGAAACGUUUAGAUAUAGCGUUGAGAGACAUGGUUUAGUGGGGUUAUUGGUGGUAGGUGGAUGGUUGGACUAGGUGAUCUUGUAGGUCUUUUCCAACCUAGCUAAUUCUAUGAUUCUAUUCUAUGAUUCUAUAUUCUAAGAUUUUGGACUUUGAGAGAAAUACUAAAUGCGGGAUUAAAUGGGAUGGGUGGUGCCUGCGAGCACCAAGGGAGGAAUCGGGGAGUCAUGGCGGGUGGUGCCUGCGAGCAUCUGGGAGGAGCAAGGGGGGUCACGGGGCUGAGCAGGGUACACUACAGGGACGUUUCAUGUUUGUAUAUAAAGAGGGGGGAGAUGCGGGAUUAAAUGGGAUGGGUGGUGCCUGCGAGCACCAAGGGAGGAAUCGGGGAGUCAUGGCGGGUGGUGCCUGCGAGCACCUGGGAGGAGCAAGGGGAGUCACGGGUAUAUGGGGCGGUCGCGUGUACGGGUAUAAGUAGCCUUGUUGCGCAGCAUUAAAUUGGCAUUUCGGCGCUACAUACCGUGUAUGUGUCCCGUAUGCCCCUGCACGCGGAAGUGCGGACGGAAGGGAAGCCUUAGUAUGUUGUCGUAGACAACACUAAAUAACAGUAUUUCACAGUAAAAAUGCUUCAAGAAGAUGCAUUAAAAACAGAAGAACUGAAAUCCUUUCCACCUACUGCAUGUUAAAGAAUUUUUAUUGAAAGGGAAACAGGUUUUCAUUUCCUUUUAAAAUGUUUCGACAACUUCAAUUUUUGCUUGGAAUUUGCACUGAAGGAAAACAAACUGGGGGAGAGAAGGGUAGUUUUUCAGCCACGUAUUGCAAAAUGAGCCUUCUUCCCAACUUAAUGUCAGCAGUGCUGUGUUGCAGUUAUCUGAGCUGUAGUGUUCAUUAACAUUAUCACUGCAAAGUUAACAUUUUCAGAAUAUAAACAUCUCUUGCAGUAAAAAUUCAUUUUAUGACAAAGCUUGACACAAACAAAAGAAAUACAAAGCUCUUCAACCGUUUUAUCUGCCAUUUUAGAAAAACAGGUAGUCAUAAGAUGUGCUGCAGAACUACUUAAAUGGAGCCAAAUAUGUACCUGCACUUCAGCUAGAUAAAGUGAGAGCAGAAUACAUUCCUGUUAUCUGAGCUAUGGUGACAAUUACAGCUGCAAAACUAUAAAUACAUUACAAGUUAUCUACCAAACGUUUAGUAUGUCCUUUAAAAUUUCUGAGUGACUGUGAGAGCUCUCAUUUCAUUCUGCAUAGUGAGGAGAUGUUCCAGCAACAGCUUCAUUUGAACAGUGGAUGAAUGGAAGAUUUCUCUAUUUGGAGACCAGCUUUACUACCAGGUAAUGAAGUAUUUAUUUGGACAAAUAAAGAAGUGAUAACAAAAAGAAAAAAGAAAAAA